rnacentral:ncRNA from 2 species
CUAAUAAUCUGAUAUGCUGAUAUGCACAUCAUUCAAUGAAUAAGGAAAGUCGGGUAGAAGCCCGCGCGGUCACGCCGCUGUGAAAGUGGAGUUCUUCAGGUAUACCACUGGGAAACUGGGAAGGUCUGAAGAUCGAUGAUGCUUAAGCCAGAAGACCUACCUGUUUUAGUGUCUCACC